AUUGAACGCUGGCGGCAGGCCUAACACAUGCAAGUCGAACGGUAACAGGAAGAAGCUUGCUUCUUUGCUGACGAGUGGCGGACGGGUGAGUAAUGUCUGGGAAACUGCCUGAUGGAGGGGGAUAACUACUGGAAACGGUAGCUAAUACCGCAUAACGUCGCAAGACCAAAGAGGGGGACCUUCGGGCCUCUUGCCAUCGGAUGUGCCCAGAUGGGAUUAGCUAGUAGGUGGGGUAACGGCUCACCUAGGCGACGAUCCCUCGCUGGUCUGAGAGGAUGACCAGCCACACUGGAACUGAGACACGGUCCAGACUCCUACGGGAGGCAGCAGUGGGGAAUAUUGCACAAUGGGCGCAAGCCUGAUGCAGCCAUGCCGCGUGUAUGAAGAAGGCCUUCGGGUUGUAAAGUACUUUCAGCGGGGAGGAAGGGAGUAAAGUUAAUACCUUUGCUCAUUGACGUUACCCGCAGAAGAAGCACCGGCUAACUCCGUG
rnacentral:rRNA from 1 species